UGCUGAUACGAAAUUUAUAUCUAAUUUAAAACUUCAAUAAUAGAAGUGACAUUAAUAUGCCGUGUUGUUGUGGGCAGAAAGUUGACCGUACUCAACCGAAGAUAGACUGUGCGAUAUGUAAAGUGUUUUUCCACGUGAAAUGUGUUGGUAUCGUACAAGCAGAUGUUGAUUAUCUCUAAAGCUCAAAUCUAGUC